CAUGCCUCUUCAGGCCUGUUAACAAUGUUACAUAUAGAAGACAACUCUUUUGACUUGUCAAUGUGAAUAUAAGGACAGAACUGAGGUGGCUUGUUUUCGUUUUUCUGAGGCCAAGCUGACUCUUCGAAGUUCUCCUUGAUAAUGGCAGCGGCAGCGUUCUCCUCUUGCUUCAGAGGACUGGAGGCAGACUGGCUUGUUGGAGACUUCUCAUUGCCUAGGUUCUUCUUCAGUAAGAUUUCGGAAAUAAUGUCGGAAGGAUGCUUGUGCAACUUCACUGAUGAAGAAAGCAGGGUUUUAAUAUCUAUCUGGAAAGAAGACAGGAUUCAACGAGCACUAAAUGGGCAUCAGAAAAAUCUGUCACUACAGCAGGGCGUCAGCUUCUUUUUUUUUCUUCUUUCCCUAUCAAAGUACGCAUGCUCAGAGUCUGCUCCUGUGAGAAGUACCCCCUGCUGUUUCAAGCAAGUGUGAACGCACCGUUCCGUUAAGGACUGUCCCAGAAUCUUAUCGGAAAGAUUCCGGAACGCUAGUGCAAACGCACCUAAUAUCAUCUAGUUUUUAGGUUAACAAAUAUAUAUUUUUUUUAUAAGCAGACUAAACAUUAUAUUUUGACCAAGCUUAAUUUAGAAGUGUUAUUAUAAAAAAAAGCAGUAAGUUACUGCCGUUGUCAGCUGAAAAUGUUGCAUGUAGGGCAAAACACCUUACAGCUUGUGUUGAUAAACCGUCUGUAUUGUUAGUUUUUUUAACCUUUUGUUUUCCAGAAUUUAUUGUCCUCCAUCUCCUAUCUUUCACCAGUAGACGAUCAAACUGAAGUUUCUAGGGAUAUGCAACUGUACUCUGUGUACCAGUGAACAACAUAAACAAUACACAGUGAAGAGUACUGUGAUACAGUAUGGUCACUAUAGAGGAGUUUUCUACGCUCUGUUGUCUAAAAGGUCCUGGCUUUAUGCAAGUCAUUUUGCUGCAGAAUAAAGGCACUAACUGUGUCUCUUGCAUCUGAUAAAGACAGAUCCUGUCCUCCUGGCUAACUAAAGCCUUCAAAGUGCAAGCACUAUAUGCCAAUUUAACAAAAAAAUAAAUAAAACAAGCUGCAAAUUGGGCAUGUUUAGGGGCUUUAUUAUAAUUCCUGAUUAAGCUGUCCAUUGUCACAAGUGCAGUGGUAGCUGCUUCUUUGUGACGAGGAACGCUGUGCUGUUUAAGAAGCUAUCUGUGUGCAGGGAAGGCGGAAUCUGCUUGUUAAGCUUUAUGGUGGAUAAUCAGGCAUGCACUGAAUGCAGAGGCCUCUCUUGAUCUCAUCAUCCAUUUGGCAGGAAUUACUUUUCUCUAUUUCCCUGCCUCGGUUUCAUUGAAGCCUGAACCCCAUAAGGCUCUAAUGCUCCACCCUGUAUUUACUUUGCCGUCAUCCCCUUUAUUAUGUAUGGCAGAGCAGUUGGGUGGGAAUAGUGAAUACUCCUGGAAGGAAUUCAGACACGGUCCAACACGCUUCUCAAAGGUUGCUUUGCCCUCGUUUUGUUCUACAUAUUUAUGACCUUGAAAUAUGCAAAUUAUUUGGGGCUCUAAUGGGAUUGCAACAUUUUUUUUUCUUUUAAUAAUCAUCAACAAUCUGCUUGUACUAGAAAUUACAAAAUGCUUUAUAGUUGAAAGCAUAAUAGAUUUUUUUUUUUUUUUUCACUAGGAGUACUGUUUGAUACCCGUGAUUAGCAUUUUAAUAUACUCUUCAAUGAGCAUGAUGGCAGCUUCCUUUAGAAGAGUUAGAGUCUGACAGGAAUUCUGAUCAUCGCACUCACUGAAGCGGGCAAAAAACACGGACAACUAAUACCUGUCCUCUUCAUUGCCUGUCUCAAGCUGAAGGUUGUUCCAUAGUGAAUACCUGCUAAUAAACAUGUCUAUUUCA